GGCCAUUCUGAGUGCACUGGUAUUUACAGCUAAUUGAUUACAACUAGUUAACAGAUAUCUUUGUUGCUGCUCCACUCCUACUACUUCACUUGACUAGCCUUAA
ensembl:misc_RNA Y_RNA Y RNA